rnacentral:rRNA from 1 species
GAUGAACGCUGGCGGCGUGCUUAACACAUGCAAGUCGAACGGAAAGGCCCAAGCUUGCUUGGGUACUCGAGUGGCGAACGGGUGAGUAACACGUGGGUGAUCUGCCCUGCACUUCGGGAUAAGCCUGGGAAACUGGGUCUAAUACCGGAUAGGACCACUUCUUGGAUGUUGUGGUGGAAAGUUUUUUCGGUGUGGGAUGAGCUCGCGGCCUAUCAGCUUGUUGGUGGGGUAAUGGCCUACCAAGGCGUCGACGGGUAGCCGGCCUGAGAGGGUGUACGGCCACAUUGGGACUGAGAUACGGCCAAGACUCCUACGGGAGGCAGAAGUGGGGAAUAUUGCACAAUGGGCGCAAGCCUGAUGCAGAGACGCCGCGUGGGGGAUGACGGCCUUCGGGUUGUAAACUCCUUUCGCUAGGGACGAAGCGUUUUGUGAGGGUACCUGGAGAAGAAGCACCGGCUAACUACGUG